rnacentral:rRNA from 1 species
GAUGAACGCUGGCGGUUUGCUUAACACAUGCAAGUCGAACGGGAAUCUUCGGAUUCUAGUGGCGGACGGGUGAGUAACGCGUGAGAAUCUGCCUUCAGGACGGGGAUAACAGUUGGAAACGACUGCUAAGACCGGAUAUGCCGAGAGGUGAAAUAUUUAUAGCCUGAAGAUGAGCUCGCGUCCGAUUAGCUAGUUGGUAGGGUAAAAGCUUACCAAGGCGACGAUCGGUAGCUGGUCUGAGAGGACGAUCAGCCACACUGGGACUGAGACACGGCCCAGACUCCUACGGGAGGCAGCAGUGGGGAAUUUUCCGCAAUGGGCGAAAGCCUGACGGAGCAA